AUGGAGCCCAAGCCCCAGCCCGCGGCCCACGGCGACGGGGCGCCGGCCGAGGCCCCCCGCCGCCGCGGCGGCGGAGGCAAGCGCAAGGCGUCGGGGUCGUCGUUCACGCCGUCCAAGCGGCACGCCAAGGAGCGGAACGCCGCCUUCCACGCGCCCUCGCACAUGCUGCACAGCGGGCCGCUCACGCGCGCCGCGCGCCAGUCGCCGCACAAGCUCUCGACCGCCCCGGCGGAUGCGGCCCCCGCGGCGUCCGUGCCCGGGGGAUCGGGCCCGGGCGAGGGCGCCGCGAUUCGGCCCGACGAGGUGCAGACGCCCGCCGAGGAAACGCCGCUGGUGGACGAGGGGUUCGAGGCCGUUCGAUCCCGCGGCGCCGGCGUCCAUGUGGUCCCCACCUUCGCCGGAUGGUUUUCAUGGAAGGAAAUCCACCAAGUUGAGAAGCAAACCUUGCCUUCAUUUUUUAAUGGCAAAUCUGAGAAGCGGACACCGGAGAUAUACUCGGGGAUUAGAAAUUCUAUCAUGAUGAAAUUCCAUGCCAAUCCUCAGCUGCAGCUGGAGCCCAAAGAUUUGGCUGAGCUAUCAGUUGGGGAGGUCGAUGCUCGACAGGAAGUGUUUGAUUUCUUGGAUCACUGGGGCCUGAUCAAUUUCCACCCUUUUCCACCUGCUGGCCUAGAAGAGAGUAAGCCAGAGGAGAGCCAAAGCGAUUCUCACAAUGAGGAGAAAGCUUCUCUCAUUGAGAAGCUGUUUAAAUUUGAACCGGUUCAGUCAUACAUGAUUCCUUUACCAAAUAAAGGGGAGGGGGAAAUUCCAGUGCCUCUGCCUACCUUGCUUCCUGAUCCUGUUCUAGUGGAAGAUGUAAUUGCAGCAGCUGAGCCUUCCGUUGAGUACCAUUGCAACUCUUGUUCAGUUGAUUGCUCAGGCAAGCGCUAUCAUUGCCGGACCCAGGCAGAUUUUGACCUGUGUUCUAACUGCUACAACGAAGCAAAAUUCGAUGCAGGCAUGUCCAAAACAGAUUUUAUCCUCAUGGAUUCCACAGAAGUUUCUGGUGCUCGUGGUACUAGCUGGACUGAUGAGGAGACAUUGCUUCUCUUAGAAGCUCUGGAAAUUUUUGGUGGAAAAUGGACUGAGAUUGCCGAACAUGUUGCUACAAAAACAAAAACACAGUGUAUGUUACACUUUCUGCAAAUGCAAAUUGAGGAUCGCUUCCAUGAUGGUGAUGAUAUUCACCAAAAUAUCCAUGAAAGCACAGAGCAAGCCUUGGUGGAAAAAGGCACCCCUGAAGUACCUGAGAAAAUGGAAACUGAAGAGAAAGUUGAAGGAAAAGAUACCAAGGAUGAGAAGCCUUCAGAGAAAACGGAAGGCAAUCACACAGAAGAAAAAACAGAAGAAGGAAGUGUUGUUGAAAAUAAAGAUGCCAAAAAUUCAGGUGGUGCAGAUUCAGUCACAAUACCAAACGUUGAUGAGCCAAAACCAUCUUCUGAUACUGACAUAGCAAAGGAAAAUUCUGUUAAUCUUGAUACUUCUGAGAAAAAUGCGCCAGAUGAUGCUAUUGAUAUUUCUGGUGAAAAUGCAUCAAAUGAUGCUAUUGAUAUCCUGAAAUCUGCAUUCGAGGCUGCUGGUAACUUCCCUGGACAUGAAGGUUCAUUUGCUGAUGCAGGGAAUCCUGUUAUGGCACUGGCAGCAUUUUUGGCUGGUCUUGUGGAAGAUGACAGUGCUACCACUUCUUGCUGUAGUUCACUAAAAGCUAUCUCAGAGGAUUCUCCUGCACUACAAUUGGCAAGUAGGCACUGUUAUAUUCUUGAAGAUCCACCGAGUGAUCUGAAAGACAUUUUUGUCACUGUAAGUAAUACAAAUAAAGAUGAGGAUCAAGCAAAAGGUGAGGAUCAAGCAAAAGAUGAGGAUAUGGUUAUAGAUUCAACUGGUAAUGAGAAAAAGGACAUCAAUGUUAAGGAAGAUAAUACUGUGUCUGUGGAAAAGCAAAACAGUCCAUCCAUUUCACCAAAAGACCACAAAGAAUCAGAUACUAAGAAUGUAUCUUGCGAUGAUGAAGCACCCACAGUGGAGCCUAAAUCCAAUAAAGCUAAGGAGACCGAUGAUCCAAUUCCUCUGGUGGAUAAGAGUGCGUCCAACGACACAAAAGUUCCGUCAAGUUCUACCAAAGAUUCAGUUGCUCCAGAAAAUAAUGCAAAUGGAUGUGGUUUGUCAGCUUCUCAAGAGGUUGUUGCAGGAAGUACUACAUGUGCAACUAAUCCUGAGCUGUUAAAGGACAAACCAAGUUCUGAAGUGGAGCCAGAUGAUGAUUCACCUUCACAAGGCAAGAUGGAGCUUAACAAGACUGAAGAUGCAGUUGCUGCCCCAACUGCUGUACAAGAAGAUGAGAAAACCCAUACAUUGAGGAAUGGCAGGCUGGAAGAACCUAACAGUGCUGAAAACGUACCUGCCGAUGGAGAGAUGGUCUCAAGAGUGACCGCCGAGCAUAAUGAUUCCUUAACUAGGCUAAAACGAGCCGCAGCUACUGCUGUUUCAGCAGCUGCUGCGAAGGCUAAGCUCCUUGCUGAGCAGGAAGAAGAUCAAAUUCGACGGCUAGCUGCACUGGUGGUCGAGAAACUGCUGCAGAAGACGGAGGCGAAGAUGUCACUAUUUGCAGAUGUGGAGCAUGUGGCCCUGCGCACGAGAGAAUACACCGAAAAGACCAGAAAGAAGCUUCUGAUGGAGCGGAACGCAAUAAUCGCAGCUCGCAUGGGCGCACUGCCAUCUAGGCCGAACCAGCAGGGUGCAGCUGGGAACAGAUUGCCGCCCGGAUAUGGCGCCCCUGCAGUAAGACCGCCGAACGCAAUGCCCCGGCCGAGCAGCUGA
rnacentral:rRNA from 1 species